UUCUGUUUUUUCCUCUUGAUUUCUUUGUUUUCUUUUCAUUUAUUCUUCCUAUCUUUCACAUCAUGCAUCUUGGUCCCUUUUAUUUCCCUGUCCCUGCAUAUCUACCCUCUGCCCUUGCAAUUUAAGAGAAAAAAGAAAAAAAACAAGAAGGAAAAACUCAAUCUCGUCAUGGUAGCUGUAGUGUGAUACAGUGAGUCAUGCAGUAAACCCUUUACCCAUAUAUCUUCACUUGCAAGUGUUCAUUGCAGAGUCAUUGGUAUGGUUUGAGGCCUCUGGUUUCUGCUACACUGUUGAUGCUGGGCCCUGACUGGGACUCAUCUUGGAUAUCUUGUUGUUGCCUUGUGUUGUGGAGAUCCUACAUCUUUGAGUCUGCAGAACUGGCCCCUACACAUGCUCCAGAAGAUCGUAGAUUGGACUGAUGUUGGGUGGGCAUCGAUUGGAGGACUAUGGAACUCCCAUCUCAUUGGAGAUCACAGCUAAAGGAAUUCUUUGAUGAAAUAGUCUGAAGUUACAACCCAAAUGUGUUCCCUUUUGAAGGAGAUUAUGUGAGAAUGUGAUGUAUUAAAUAUUCAUUUUCCAAAUAAAAAAUUUGAAACUCA